CCUACGGGUGGCAGCAGUGAGGAAUAUUGGUCAAUGGGCGAGAGCCUGAACCAGCCACGUCGCGUGAGGGAGUACUGCCCUAUGGGUUGUAAACCUCUUUUGUCGGGGAGCACAAGCCGGACGUGUCCGGCUGUGAGAGUACCCGAAGAAAAAGCAUCGGCUAACUCCGUGCCAGCAGCCGCGGUAACACGGAGGAUGCGAGCGUUAUCCGGAUUUAUUGGGUUUAAAGGGUGCGCAGGCGGAUUUUUAAGUCAGCGGUAAAAUCGUGGGGCUCAACCCCAUCCAGCCGUUGAAACUGGGGAUCUAGAGUGUGCGAGAGGUAUGCGGAAUGCGUGGUGUAGCGGUGAAAUGCAUAGAUAUCACGCAGAACCCCGAUGGCGAAGGCAGCAUACCGGUGCACAACUGACGCUCAGGCACGAAAGCGUGGGUAUCGAACAGGAUUAGAUACCCUAGUAGUC
rnacentral:rRNA from 1 species